CAGCAGCCGCGGGAAUACGAAGGGUGCAAGCGUUAAUCGGAAUUACUGGGCGUAAAGCGUGCGUAGGCGGUGAGUUAAGUCUGCUGUGAAAUCCCCGGGCUCAACCUGGGAAUGGCAAUGGAUACUGGCAAGCUAGAGUGUGUCAGAGGAUGGUGGAAUUCCCGGUGUAGCGGUGAAAUGCGUAGAGAUCGGGAGGAACAUCAGUGGCGAAGGCGGCCAUCUGGGACAACACUGACGCUGAGGCACGAAAGCGUGGGGAGCAAACAGGAUUAGAUACCCGGGUAGUCCCUGUCUCUUAUAC
rnacentral:rRNA from 1 species